CACCCAGCAGCCCAGGCAGGGAUGGAGGCAGCAGUGACAUACGGGGAGCAGCCGACCCGUUGUGGCUGCACCGAGCGGAUACUCGAUGAACACUCUCUCCUCUUUUGAGGGCUCUCUGAGGUCGGCGUCUGCAUGUGUCAAAAGCCUCUUGCCUCCUGAUACGCUUGGAAACCAGGGGAUCGUUAUUGAAACUGCGAAGCCGACGGGGUCGUCCCCUGCUGGCUCCUGCUUUCUGGCCAGGCCCACCUGGCUACCUUCUGCCUGGGCAGAGCCAAGCUGUCUGGAACUACUGUCUGGGAGAAGCCUCUUUCCCAUCCCAGCCAGUGUACCCAGCAAUCAGGAGCCAUUGCCCGACCCAGGGCUGCCUGGAUAAACAUUUAUAAGCUCCGGAGGGAUCAUUAGCGGAGGGCAGAGAUGUCUCUAUUUGAACCUCCGACAGUUACCCUAAGUCCAAAUCUGAGCUCACUCAUUGCCCCUUAACUCAUAGGAAUUCAAAUGAUGCAUUGGGAAGGAGAGAACAAUUUAAAUCAGAGGUCCUCAACCUUGUCUGCACCUACUCACCAAGGAACUUUAAUAAUCCAGAUGUCCAGGCUGCAGUCCAGAGGGUUAAAUCAGAAACUGUGGGGGUAGGGCCCACACAUCUGUAUUUUUAAAGCUCCCCAGGUGACUCUGAUAUACAGUCUAGGUUGAGAACCUCUGACUUAAAUGGCGUGUGGGGUUCCUGCCAGCCAUUCUACCUGUGACUGAAGGCCCUGGAGAUGGAAGAUAUGACUCUGUAUUCUCAUGGGGGCCUGGUUCCUUGUGUUUCUCCUAUGAUGAGUAUAUCUCCAUUGCCAAAUGUGGUUCUGGAGUUUAAAGAUUAGAUACAACAAAGCACUGGAACUUCAUUUAAUUCAACCAGAGCAACUGGACUUGAUGGGUAAUCUAAGGGAUUUUUCAAAUAGAAUAUUGACUAAAUAAAU